rnacentral:rRNA from 1 species
GUAGGUGGCAAGCGUCGUCCGGAAUUAUUGGGCGUAAAGCGCGCGCAGGCGGGUUCUUUAAGUCUGAUGUGAAAGCCCACGGGCUCAACCGUGGAGGGUCAUUGGAAACUGGAGAACUUGAGUACAGAAGAGGAAAGCGGAAUUCCACGUGUAGCGGUGAAAUGCGUAGAGAUGUGGAGGAACACCAGUGGCGAAGGCGGCUUUCUGGUCUGUAACUGACGCUGAGGCGCGAAAGCGUGGGGAGCAAACAGGAUUAGAUACCCUGGUAGUCCACGCCGUAAACGAUGAGUGCUAAGUGUUAGGGGGUUUCCGCCCCUUAGUGCCGCAGCUAACGCAUUAAGCACUCCGCCUGGGGAGUACGGCCGCAAGGCUG